AUUAUUUAACUCCAAAGUCAAACCCUCUUAAUUUCUGGAAUCAAGAUUUCUUUACAUGAAAUAGUGUGAAAAAUCCAAUUCAAGUGCAGUUGAAAUUGCUCAGAGGGUGCUUAUCAGCAAAGGUGGAGAAAGAACUUUUUUCAGGAUUGUAAAGAGGGCCAAGCAGCAUGCUGUUCCUUAUUUGUCUUUUUUUCUUUUUCUUUCUGCUUAGGAACCAGACCAAUGCCCCUCCUCCUAUUUUGAGAAGCCAGUGGUCCCACAAGCUGUUCUUUCUGUAGCCAUGAUGAUGCCCUGUUGCUGUGUCUCCUUCUCUCUAAUAGCUGGUGACCAGACACCACACCCCAAGAAAUCCUACUGUUCUUUAGAUAUGCACUUCCUCCUCCUAGAGAAAAGUAAAAUCAUAGAUCAUAUUAAGAUGUGCUAUGCUUUCUGAGAUGGGCUGAGUUGAGGAGGCAACAGAAUCCUUACAAGUGACAUUUUUUAAGUGAAUUUUUAAAGUGUGGGAUCACUGCAAGCUCACUCUAUCUCAACAGGGUACUGUGUUGCCUGAAAAGAGCCUUCUGCAGCCAGGGAUCAGAUAUUUGCCCUUUAUCACUUUGUUGUUGUUGUUGUUGUUGUUGUCUAUGAAGGUAACAAACCAAGGAAACUCAUUUAUUUUGUUGGCAGCUACCAUCUGUUGAGUCUGUUGAGGAGGCUCACUCAAUAUCACAUUUCAGAGGAAAAACAGGAAUUUCAUAUAAUUAAGUCAGUGGAGCUCAGUUCAUACUCAUACACAUUCCUCUACACUGAAUACACAGCAAAGAACAUGUUGUCUAGAGGGUACUUUCUGCAGGUCUUUAUUAAGAUAUUCUUUGUGGGAAAACCUGGUAAUAUAGCACUAAAAUCACUGUGGUCUUGCUCCUCCUAUUGUCUAGAUUAUGCCAUUUUGAAAGUGCUGCAGACAAAGAAAAGGUUUUUUGCUUUCCCCACUUACCAUAUUGAAACUAUAUUUGCAUGAGAUCAAACCUCCUAUGUUUCUGAGUCAGAGGUCUCUGCAAUCUCUCAGAAUUUCCUGCCUGCUAUACAAGAGGUCAUGACUGAGAAGUUAGGGGCAUGUGAGCACAGAAAUAUAAGACCAUAGCAAACCCCCAAACCCUCACCUAAAUGUUGUCUUAACAAAAAUAGUAAUUUUUUAAUAGCACUACAAAUACAGAGCAUUUGGGAAAAUCGUUAACAACUAUCUACAACAGUGAACUACAGUUGUUUUUACUGUGUGAGGUACUUAGCACCUGGAUUUGCUUGUGCAUGAGAGGCCGCACUGCAGUGCUACAAUUGAGCACACGUUUGCCCUAUGUAACUCUGUCAUGUAACGAUGUUUUGUUUGUGAGCAAAGAAAGUUUUGACAGCAGUAUCUGCAGGGAAGUUUGACUCAGCCAGAAGUAUGUAAGUAUCUGUAGGGCUCUGCAGCAUAGCUGUGACAUCAGGGUUUGAGUUGCUACUAGUCAGCUAAGAUAGUUUGGAGCCAGAGCUUCUGCACACUGUAAUGCAGAGUAUUCUCUUAAAUCCUCUUUAGUCUCUUCUGCAGUUGUUUCCUCAUUUGCUCUGACAGAACUGUGUGCACAGAGUCAGUCACUGCUGGGAACAGUGCAUGUCCCAGGAUGUGUUGUUUUCUGAGCUGUGAGGAGUCCAGUGUGAACCUGCAUCAAACCCACACUAAGGGCUUUCUCCCCAUAAGGAUUAUAUUAUUGCAGUUGUCUUAUAUAUAUUAUAUUAGUUUAGCAAAAAGGAAUUAAUAUGUGAUAGUUCUAAAUUUUUCCAGCUCAGCUUUUCUUGGUGUGUGAACAGUCUUGUUUUUCUAAACAAUCUCCACUUCGUUGAAGCACUGAAGUCACAAUUGGCUGCUUUUGUCUUUUCAUCCACCAGGUGCAGAACCAGAAAUCUGGGAGCAUGUGCUUGAUUUGUCAAGUCGCCCAGUAUGGAUUGCAAGAAUAAAGGAAUGCCACCGCUAACAUCACAAUGGAGUUGGAGAGUUUUCUUCCCAGAUUUUUCUGAUGACAGCACAAAUAAAGGGAAGAUGUUCUGCAUCACAGUGAGUCAAGCAAUUGGGAUUAAAUAUCAAGAACUCUGAGAGAGGAACUCACAACAACUCAAACUUGAGGGGCUGCACCGCUGCAGAUGAGGGCUUCUUUACAGACUGAUGAUUCCAGAUUUUCAGGUGAAUAUUUUAAAUAAAAGCCACACUGGGAAAAACAUACAGUUCCAUGCAGGAUCACCAGCUGUCUCUGAGAAAGCUUUGCUUUAAAGGAUCAGUCUUUCACUUGCAAGUCUUCUGCUUGAACUGCGUUUCAGCAAGCAUUGGUGAGCCGAAAUUGGACCAUUCUCUUCCACAGCACCACCAUAUUCCAGAUUAAUUGAAUCUGUGUCCAAUGAGGAACUGAAGAGAUAUUUAGAGAUCUUGAUGGCUAUGGAAGAACCUAAGCUGACAGAAGGCACACAGACCCAAACAAGGCUCAGACUGCUGGAGAACCUCCUGCCAGCCAGGGUGAAUGAAUGACAGUGUGGAGAGCAAGCUGAGACGUCGUCCUCUGUGUCUUCAUAAUGGUAGGAACAAUUCGUGGAUCCAUGUUGGCCAAUUCGUCUACUGAGGAAGCAGUCAGCUUAGUUUUGUACCAUGGGAUAUCACUGUAAUAUCUUGUUUGACCUCUUGCUGUUCAAAAAGUGCACCCACGUGUUUGUACAUCAUUUACAAAAGCCGGUGUUGUCUGGUGCUGCCAUAAUAUGUUGGGGUCCUAAGAGGAAAGAGCUAAAUCUGCAAACAUUUCUCAUUGUUUACUGGAAAUUAAAUAGGCAGUCCCACAAACUACUGCCCUGCCACAGAAUUACUUUCUUGGGAAAGUCAAGAGAAUUAAUACAUCAUGACAUGAGCAUACCUCAUCUCAUUUGAUUCUCUAUUUCUGGGGCAAAAAAAAAAUGAGAACCAGUGGGGAAAGAAGAAUACUAAAAGGCUCCUUCUGCUUGCUGAGAGAAGAUGGUCGGAAGAAUCAGCUGGUUUUCACUGAAGCUAUGUGCUAAAUAGUGUGUUUCCUAUCUGCAGGUUCAAUUCAGCACUGAAAGCUUAAUUAGCAUUGCUCAGCAACAGGGAAGCAUUCAGAUUCACAAGAAUAGUUUUGGUUGAGGCUUCUAAGCACACUCUUUACAAUGGUCUCCAUGGCAUUUUUAAGCUGCUUGCAACUGUUCACUGUUAGGCAUUCUGAUUCAAAGUGAAAUUCUUCAACAACAGUGCCAUCAACAGAAGUGAUGUGCUUCUGAGCAAAACGAGUGUACAACAAACCUAAAUGCAUGGAACUUGGCUCAGAUGUUACCUAUAGCAAAAACAGCAUUUCCCCAGAGUGAGAAGAGGGAUACUCAGAAGCCAAACAGAUUGUUCAACAGUUAAUAGGAAGAUACUGAAAUAUGUGAAAUUGAUAACUUAGGAGUUGUUUUGUUGGAGGAGGGAUUCAGAAGCCAAAGCAAAGGAACUGCAAGGUGCCAGCUGAAGUUUCCUAUUGAUGGAUAUGUGCUGAACAGCCACCACAAACCCUUCCCAUAAUCUUAUCAGCUACAAGGACUCAGAGGAAUGCUACAAAAGUUGCUGGGUCAGGGAAAUGCAGUUCUGUAGGAGACAGAAAGAACACAUCCUGAGUUACACCAGGAGAGUUGAGGCAGGCUUCCCAAAAUGUCAUGCCACCAAAUGUGCUUUGCUCUGUACUGGAAUGUUGAAAAACCCACAACCAAACAGUCCAAAAAGAUAAUGUUUGGUUAUUACAGAGAAGUGCCAGGAGCCAGAAAUAAUACAACAAGCAUAUGAGAAAUUAAACUCUUAAAUAGCGUCAAACUGUAUCCUCUGUGAGGGCUCUCUCUGCAGUUUUGUCUGAAUCUUUGUACUUCCAAAACAUGACAAAUACUAAACUUAUUCUUGAAGAGCAAAAUUGAGUAUCUGAGAGAAAAUACAAAAAUACUUUGAAUCACCAGUUUCAUUAACAGCAUUGACCUAACAUCGUUGUAUUAUGGCAUUAGGAAAAACUAUUCAUACUUAAAUAGUGACUAAAAGUGUGUUUGCAGAGGAAAAUAAAUGCAAAAUUUACAGUACUGAUUUCUUUUAUGCUUU